UACGUAGGUGGCAAGCGUUAUCCGGAUUUAUUGGGCGUAAAGAGAACGCAGGCGGUCUUUUAAGUCUGAUGUGAAAGCCUUCGGCUUAACCGGAGUAGUGCAUUGGAAACUGGGAGACUUGAGUGCAGAAGAGGAGAGUGGAACUCCAUGUGUAGCGGUGAAAUGCGUAGAUAUAUGGAAGAACACCAGUGGCGAAAGCGGCUCUCUGGCCUGUAACUGACACUGAGGCUCGAAAGCGUGGGGAGCAAACAGG
rnacentral:rRNA from 1 species